AUUGAACGCUGGCGGCGUGCUUAACACAUGCAAGUCGUGCGGUAACAGGCGUAGCAAUACGUGCUGACGAGCGGCGAACGGGUGCGUAAUACAUGGGAAUCUGCCCUUUAGUGGGGAAUAACCCGGCGAAAGCCGGGCUAAUGCCGCAUAAGAUCUUCGGAUGAAAGCGGGGGAUCGUAAGACCUCGCGCUGAUGGAUGAGCCCAUGUCGGAUUAGCAGUUGGUGAGGUAACGGCUCACCAAGGCGACGAUCCGUAGCUGGUCUGAGAGGACGGCCAGCCACACUGGGACUGAGACACGGCCCAGACUCCUACGGGAGGCAGCAGUGGGGAAUAUUGGACAAUGGGCGAAAGCCUGAUCCAGCGACGCCGCGUGUGUGAAGAAGGCCCGCGGGUUGU
rnacentral:rRNA from 1 species